UACGAAGGGGGCUAGCGUUGUUCGGAAUUAUUGGGCGUAAAGAGCUCGUAGGCGGUCUGUCGCGUCUGCUGUGAAAACUCGGGGCUUAACCCCGGGCCUGCAGUGGGUACGGGCAGACUAGAGUGCGGUAGGGGAGACUGGAAUUCCUGGUGUAGCGGUGAAAUGCGCAGAUAUCAGGAGGAACACCGGUGGCGAAGGCGGGUCUCUGGGCCGUAACUGACGCUGAGGAGCGAAAGCGUGGGGAGCGAACAGG
rnacentral:rRNA from 1 species